CAUGUUAAAACACUAGUUCCCAUACGAUCACCAAAGUUAAGCAACAUCAAGCCUGGUCAGUACCUAGAUGGGUAACCACUUGGGAAUACAAGGUGCUGCAAG
rnacentral:rRNA from 1 species